rnacentral:rRNA from 1 species
UACGUAGGGUGCAAGCGUUAAUCGGAAUUACUGGGCGUAAAGCGUGCGCAGGCGGUGAUGUAAGACCGAUGUGAAAUCCCCGGGCUUAACCUGGGAACUGCAUUGGUGACUGCAUCGCUAGAGUAUGGCAGAGGGGGGUGGAAUUCCACGUGUAGCAGUGAAAUGCGUAGAGAUGUGGAGGAACACCGAUGGCGAAGGCAGCCCCCUGGGCCAAUACUGACGCUCAUGCACGAAAGCGUGGGGAGCAAACAGGAU